rnacentral:rRNA from 1 species
AUUGAACGCUGGCGGCAGGCUUAACACAUGCAAGUCGAGCGGGGGAAGGUAGCUUGCUACUGGACCUAGCGGCGGACGGGUGUGUAAUGCUUAGGAAUCUGCCUAUUAGUGGGGGACAACAUCUCGAAAGGGAUGCUGAUACCGCAUACGUCCUACGGGAGAAAGCAGGGGAUCUUCGGACCUUGCGCUAAUAGAUGAGCCUAAGUCGGAUUAGCUAGUUGGUGGGGUAAAGGCCUACCAAGGCGACGAUCUGUAGCGGGUCUGAGAGGAUGAUCCGGCAAACUGGGACUGAGAAACGGCCCAGACUCCUACGGGAGGCAGCAGUGGGGAAUAUUGGACAAUGGGGGGAACCCUGAUCCAGCCAUGCCGCGUGUGUGAAGAAGGCCUUAUGGUUGUAAAGCACUUUAAGCGAGGAGGAGGCUACUUUAGUUAAUACCUAGAGAUAGUGGACGUUACUCGCAGAAUAAGCACCGGCUAACUCUGUGCCAGCCGCCGCGGUAA